UGCCAACUAUUCUCUAUCAGUUUAGAGCAUCCCCACCAGUUGCUACAUUCGGUUGCUAAAAACGAUUAGGCACCCCUUCACCAUAACUUGGCAACCACACCGGGAGUUGCCAUUCGGCAACUGUGUGUGUGCAAUCGCCAUUUGUCUAGUGGAAGCGAAACGAUUCGGAGCUUUUAUUUAUAGAAAACAAUAGCAAGGUUUCACGCAGUCGUAAAAACUGCACUAGCUGAUGAACAAUAUGCGACGGCGGAAGUUCCACAAUCUUAAACACAUCGUCACAAAAACAAUGAUUCUACAGCAGUACUUGGCGACGAUACCCAGCGAAAAUCAUAACCAUCAUUACCACCGACAGCAGCCCAUAACUUCGGACGGAGGGAAAGCGAUAUGUGUCCCAUCUGCGAUAUAGUUUCCUUCGCAAAUCACGACUUCACGUCCGGUCGCUCAACAACAACAAAAAACCGUGUCCAAGGAUAAUGGGGAGAGUAAGUUUGUGUGGCGCUUCAUUGCUGGAUCGGUACAUGCUGCCUUCGCUCGGAUAUGGAGCGUCACAUCAAGCAGUAACAUUCCUAAUUCUGGUCGAAGCGCGGAGGACAUCAUUGGAUGCGCAACCAGAUAAUUCGACCGAGGCGGAGGCGUCGGCAAUCAAUCAAUCCGCCAAGGGAAAUAGACAAAGAUUUGAUGUUCCGCUGUCAGUUUCGAUUGGGAUUUCCAGUGAAAAUAGGUAAAUGCUUGAUUAUUUUUAAAAUGUUUGCCACUUUGUUACGCAAUUCGUUCUAUUUUGUAGAAAUAUCGCUACUCUGUGUGGUUGUCAUAUUUGACAACGUAUUCGCAUAAGAGCUCCCGCAAACUGCAUACUUUUUAUCGGCAGAAAAUUUGAUCGAGUUGGCCUGUUAGUGCAAAAACCGACCCAACUGAAUCGGUAUAACGUGCGCAUAUGCAUAUCUCUCCAUACUGAUCAAGUUGGCCGAUCAAACUAUCGGCCGUAUAACAGUCUGCAAUCUGCGGGGGCUCUUAUGCGAAUACGUUGUCAAAUAUGACAACCACACAGAGUAGCGAUAUUUCUACAAAAUAGAACGAAUUGCGUAACAGAAGAGCGUGCAACAUGCAUUAUCGAGGAUUACUGUUUUGAUGUCCCAUCCGAGUACGUACGACGUAAUGCCGAUUUGAGGAAGCAGGAAAGAGAAAGGAAAACCU